GAUUAACGCUGGCGGCGUGCAUAACACAUGCAAGUCGAACGAUGAAACUUAACUGAUUUCUUCGGAAUGAUUUUAAGUGGAUUAGUGGCGGACGGGUGAGUAACGCGUGAGUAACCUGCCUUGGAGAAGGGGAUAGCCUUUGGAAACGAAGAAUAAUACCCUAUGAUAUGAUAAUAUCUCAUGAUAUUAUCAUCAAAGAUUUAUCGCUCUAAGAUGGACUUGCGUCUGAUUAGUUAGUUGGUGAGGUAACAGCUCACCAAGGCAGCGAUCAGUAGCCGGCUUGAGAGAGUGUACGGCCACAUUGGGACUGAGACACGGCCCAGACUCCUACGGGAGGCAGCAGUGGGGAAUUUUGCACAAUGGGGGAAACCCUGAUGCAGCGACGCCGCGUGAUUUAGAAGGCCUACGGGUUGUAAAAAUCUUUUGUAUGGGAAGAAAAUGACAGUACCAUACGAAUAAGGACCGGCUAAUUACGUG
rnacentral:rRNA from 1 species